AUCAUCUACUUCAGGACCAUGUUUGACUGUGGAUAAUUGAAAUCAAGGAAAUAAAACUACAGAUGAAUAUUACUACCUACCUCUGCUGAAUGGGCACAGAGUUUUGGCUUUGCAAGAUGAGAAGAGUUCUGGGGAUGGAUGGGCAUGACAGUUGCACUACUAUGUGAAUGCACUCAGUACUGCUGGAGUGUACAUUUAAAAAUGGUGUGACUUCAAAGUAUAUUCCUGAAGUUCAAAUCUCAUUUGGAGAGAAUUCUUUGAAGUCAAAGUAAAACCAGAUCUUUUGAGUUUCUGGAUCCAAUUCUAAUGUGUGUAUAAGGCUUCCUGACACCAACAAGCAAUUCUCAGACACCAGAUGGGUGUCCUACAAUUCAACUCCAUUCUGACAUUAACAACCUGGAGAUAGCAUCCAGAUUCCACAGGUUACGGGUUUAGUUCUGCAAGACUGCAUUCCACUUCAGAUGCCAAUCUCAAGCCUACAUUGUUAUCUGUGCUUCUGACCAAAUGGCUAUAAAUCAUAGGUUCCCACGAGCUCCUCCUCUGGUUCAAUUAAUUUGCCACGACAGCUCACUUAGGAACGACAGAACUUAGGAAACCUGUUUCCUUCCUACCAGUUUAUUACACAGGAUGGUAAAGACUACAAAUCAACAGCCAGGUUGAUAAAAGAGUUAAAAAGGACAGGUAUGGGGAAAGGGUAUGGACCUACCAAGCCCCCCAGGUACAUCGAUCUCCCAGCACCUCCAUGUGUUCAACCUCCUGGAAACUCUCCAAACCCUGGCCAGUGGGGUUUUUAUGGAGGUCUCAUUACAUAGACAUGA